AUUAUGAUUAUCUUGUUGAAUAAAUCAAUAUUGGAAAUAUUAAGAGAAAUAACUUUAAAAUUUAAACAGUUAGUAAUUUUUAAUAAAUUCUGUUUUAAACUAUAGUGUAAAGUACUGAGAAGGAAAGAAAAAAAAAUUAAAAUAGUAAAUUUGAAUUAUUGUACCUUGUGUAUCAGGGAGGAUCUAUAUAAAUUAAUAAUAUUAAUGAUCUCGAAAUAAAAUAUAGCUAAUUUUAUAAAAAUUUUUUUGUAGAAAAUAAAUUUUAAAUAUAAAAUUAAAAGUGAAAUGCUAAAUGAGUUUUAUAAUAUCUAGUUUUUUGAAAAUAGAUUUAAUCUGAUUUUUAUAUUCAAAAUAUAUAAAAAUUAAAUGUAGGAGGGAUUAGCUUCUUAUAAAUCAAAGUUGUAAAGAGUUAAAAAAUUUAGUUUUUAGUAAAUUAAGCUUAAAAGUAGCUAUAUUAAUAAAGUGUUUUAACUAAAUUAGAAUUAAAUAAUAUUUAUAAAAACUUUAAAAUUAUCAAAAAAUUAAUUAAAAUUUAAAAGUUAAGUUAUAAUGAUUCUAUCAGUAAAAUUUUAUUAUAAAAUUAUAUAAAUUAAAAUGAUAAAAUUUAUUUAAAUAUAUNAUGAUAAUAUAUAGGAACUCGGCAAAAAUCUUUUCUUUGCCUGUUUAUCAAAAACAUGUCUGUUUGAAGAUAUAAAAAGUUUAACCUGCCCACUGAUUAAUCGAAAAAUAUUAAAUGGCCGCGGUAUUCUGACCGUGCAAAGGUAGCAUAAUCGUUAGUUUUUUAAUUGGAAUCUUGUAUGAAUGGUUGGACAAAAGAAAAUCUGUCUUUGUGUUAUAAAUUGAAUUUAACUUUUAAGUGAAAAGGCUUAAAUUAAUUAAAGGGACGAUAAGACCCUAUAAAGCUUGAUAUUAAUAUAUUAUUUAGUUGAAUUUAAAAAAUAAAAACUUAAUAAUUAAAUUUAUUUUAUUGGGGUGAUAAAAGUAAAAUGAUUAUUAACUGCUUAAUGUUAGAUACAUCUUUACAUGAUUAAUUUUUAAAUGAUCCUAGCUAAAGAUUAAAAGUUUAAGUUACUUUAGGGAUAACAGCGUUAUUUUUUUUAAGAGUACUUAUCGAAAAAAAAGUUUGCGACCUCGAUGUUGAAUUAAAAUAUCUU
rnacentral:rRNA from 1 species